rnacentral:rRNA from 1 species
UGGCCGCGGGAUUCGAUUAAGCCAUGCGAGUCAUAUGUUCUUCGUGAACAUGGCGUACUGCUCAGUAACACGUGGAUAACCUGCCCUUGGGACCGGGAUAACCCCGGGAAACUGGGGAUAAUACCGGAUAACGCAUAUCUGCUGGAAUGCUUUAUGCGUAAAAUGGAUUUGUCUGCCCAAGGAUGGGUCUGCGGCCUAUCAGGUAGUAGUGGGUGUAAUGUACCUACUAGCCUACGACGGGUACGGGUUGUGAGAGCAAGAGCCCGGAGAUGGAUUCUGAGACAUGAAUCCAGGCCCUACGGGGCGCAGCAGGCGCGAAAACUUUACAAUGCGGGAAACCGUGAUAAGGGGACACCGAGUGCCAGCAUCAUAUGUUGGCUGUCCAGAUGUGUAAAAUACAUCUGUUAGCAAGGGCCGGGCAAGACCGGUGCCAGCCGCCGCGGUAACACCGGCGGCCCGAGUGGUGAUCGUGAUUAUUGGGUCUAAAGGGUCCGUAGCCGGUUUGGUCAGUCCUCCGGGAAAUCUGACGGCUCAACCGUUAGGCUUUCGGUGGAUACUGCCAGACUUGGAACCGGGAGAGGUAAGAGGUACUACAGGGGUAGGAGUGAAAUCUUGUAAUCCCUGUGAGACCACCUGUGGCGAAGGCGUCUUACCAGAACGGGUUCGACGGUGAGGGACGAAAGCUGGGGGCACGAACCGGAUUAGAUACCCGGGUAGUCCCAGCCGUAAACGAUGCUCGCUAGGUGUCAGGCAUGGCGCGACCGUGUCUGGUGCCGCAGGGAAGCCGUGAAGCGAGCCACCUGGGAAGUACGGCCGCAAGGCUGAAACUUAAAGGAAUUGGCGGGGGAGCAAAUCACUAGUGCGGCCGCCUG